rnacentral:rRNA from 1 species
GACGAACACUGGCGGCGUGCUUAACACAUGCAAGUCGAACGGAAAGGCCCUGCUUUUGUGGGGUGCUCGAGUGGCGAACGGGUGAGUAACACGUGAGUAACCUGCCCUUGACUUUGGGAUAACUUCAGGAAACUGGGGCUAAUACCGGAUAGGAGCUCCUGCUGCAUGGUGGGGGUUGGAAAGUUUCGGCGGUUGGGGAUGGACUCGCGGCUUAUCGGCUUGUUGGUGGGGUAGUGGCUUACCAAGGCUUUGACGGGUAGCCGGCCUGAGAGGGUGACCGGCCACAUUGGGACUGAGGUACGGCCCAGACUCCUACGGGAGGCAGAAGUGGGAAAUAUUGCGCAAUGGGCGCAAGCCGGAUGCAGCAACGCUGCGUGCGUGAUGACGGCCUUCGGGUUGUAAACCGCUUUCGCCUGUGACGAACCGUGAGUGACGGUAAUGGGUAAAGAAGCACCGGCUAACUACGUG